rnacentral:rRNA from 1 species
GAUGAACGCUAGCUACAGGCUUAACACAUGCAAGUCGAGGGGAAACGGCAUUAAGUGCUUGCACUUUUUGGACGUCGACCGGCGCACGGGUGAGUAACGCGUAUCCAACCUUCCCAUGACUAAGGGAUAACCUGCCGAAAGGCAGACUAAUACCUUAUGGUCUUCACUGACGGCAUCAGAUGUGAAGUAAAGAUUUAUCGGUUAUGGAUGGGGAUGCGUCUGAUUAGCUUGUUGGCGGGGUAACGGCCCACCAAGGCAGCGAUCAGUAGGGGUUCUGAGAGGAAGGUCCCCCACAUUGGAACUGAGACACGGUCCAAACUCCUACGGGAGGCAGCAGUGAGGAAUAUUGGUCAAUGGGCGAGAGCCUGAACCAGCCAAGUAGCGUGCAGGAUGACGGCCCUAUGGGUUGUAAACUGCUUUUGUAUGGGGAUAAAGUCAAUCACGUGUGAUUGUUUGCAGGUACCAUACGAAUAAGGACCGGCUAAUUCCGUG